rnacentral:snRNA from 1 species
GUGCUCCUUAAGCAGCACACACACCAAAAUCGGAACAACACUGAGAUUAGCAUGGUCCCUGCGCAAGGAUGACACGCAAACUCAUGAAGCAUUCCAUGAUUUU